rnacentral:rRNA from 1 species
UGGGGAAUCUUCCGCAAUGGACGAAAGUCUGACGGAGCAACGCCGCGUGAGUGAAGACGGCCUUCGGGUUGUAAAGCUCUGUGAUCCGGGACGAAAGAGCCUGAGGUAAAUAGCCUAAGGAAGUGACGGUACCGGAAAAGCAAGCCACGGCUAACUACGUGCCAGCAGCCGCGGUAAUACGUAGGUGGCAAGCGUUGUCCGGAAUUAUUGGGCGUAAAGCGCGCGCAGGCGGCUUACUAAGUCCAUCUUAAAAGUGCGGGGCUUAACCCAGUGAUGGGAUGGAAACUGGAAAGCUGGAGUAUCGGAGAGGAAAGUGGAAUUCCUAGUGUAGCGGUGAAAUGCGUAGAGAUUAGGAAGAACACCGGUGGCGAAGGCGACUUUCUGGACGAAAACUGACGCUGAGGCGCGAAAGCGUGGGGAGCAAACAGG